CUCCAUGUUAGUCAGGCUGGUCUCAAUCUCCUGACCUCAAGUUAUGUGCCUGCCUCAGCCUCUCUGGGUGCUGGGAUUGGAACAGGAAUUAAAAGACAUUUAAAAAUGUGUAAGCAAAAACAGUUGUAUGUUAAAAAAAAAAAAAAAAAAAAAAAAACCAUUUCCCCCUGAGAAUGAGAAAGAGCUGGAGUCCUUUAAAAGAAACUGCCUGUUUUUCUAUGGCUAGUGAGCCUUAUCUCUUCUCCCUUCCCAGGCAUUAUAAAACUCUAAUUCCCUAACUGUGCAACUACAAGGUCACUAAACAAAUUGGUGCAUUUAAAACCCUUUAGCCACACAAGUUCUCCAAGUCCCCACCAGAUUAGCUAGAUACAGAGUGCUGAUUGAUACAUCCACAAACCCCAAGCUAGACACAGAGUGCUGACUGGUCCAUUUACAAUCCUUUAGCUAGACAUAAAAGUUCUCCAAGUCCCCACUAGAUUAGCUAGACAGAGUGCUGAUUGGUGCAUUUGCAAACCUUGAGCUAGA
rnacentral:lncRNA from 1 species